rnacentral:misc_RNA from 1 species
GAUGAAGAACGCAGCGAAAUGCGAUAAGUAAUGUGAAUUGCAGAAUUCAGUGAAUCAUCGAAUCUUUGAACGCACAUUGCGCCCGCUAGUAUUCUGGCGGGCAUGCCUGUUCGAGCGUCAUUUCAACCAUCAAGCUCCUUAGCUUGUGUUGGGGACCUGCGGCUGCCGCAGCCCCCGAAAUGCAGUGGCGGGCUCGUUGUCACACCGAGUGCAGUAAUCAUUCUUCUCUCCGGGCGUGGCGGCGGGUUCCGGCCGUAAAAUCACCAAUUUAUCAAGGUUGACCUCGGAUCAGGUAGGAAUACCCGCUGAACUUAAGCAUAUCAUAGGGAGGA